GCGAGUAAUGUCGGGAACUCCAGGGAGACUGCCGGUGAUAAACCGGAGGAAGGUGGGGACGACGUCAAGUCAUCAUGGCCCUUACGAGUAGGGCUACACACGUGCUACAAUGGCGCAUACAGAGGGCAGCAAGACCGCGAGGUGGAGCGAAUCCCAAAAAGUGCGUCGUAGUCCGGAUUGGAGUCUGCAACUCGACUCCAUGAAGUCGGAAUCGCUAGUAAUCGUGGAUCAGAAUGCCACGGUGAAUACGUUCCCGGGCCUUGUACACACCGCC
rnacentral:rRNA from 1 species